CUGUCGCUGUCGCAGUCGCAGUCUCUGUCUUUUACUUCUUCUCUCUGCCUUUUGCUUUGGCUUCAUUGUUGUUGCUCGUUGACGACGGUUUCCGUUGCUGUUUGUUGUACCCUACGAAAGUAAGGGUAUAAAAGUUUUACACGAAUCGAAAGCCGAGUAAACAUAACCAUCAAAAUCCGAUACUUCAUACAAGAGCGAUGCCUCUCUCUGCCAUCCCCUCCUACCCCAUCUGGUUCCUGAUUGUGACAACAGGCGAAAAAGGAUUUGCCACAGGACGAGACAUGCAAGCCAACAAAGAAUCCACAAAACAAGAAGCCAGGUAUUUUCCUGCAAAUUCGUUCCCGGAUAGGAACUCGUACAGUCGGAACUAGCAAAUAAAUUGGAUUAUAGACGCACACCCGUUUCCAGCGUAUAUUUAUAAAAGGGAGCUCAAACAUAGAGAG